CCUACCGGAGGUGCCGGUGGGGAAUCUUACACCAUGGGGGCAACCCUGAUCUAACCUUGCCGCGUGAGUGAUGAAGGCCUUAGGGUCGUAAAGCUCUUUCGCCUGUGAUGAUAAUGACAGUAGCAGGUAAAGAAACCCCGGCUAACUCCGUGCCAGCAUCCGCGGUAAUA
rnacentral:rRNA from 1 species